GGAGAAAUGGCUGAGUGGUCGAAGGCGUCGGUUUGCUAAACCGAUCUAUGCAACAAGUGUAGCGCAGGUUCGAAUCCUGUUUUCUCCG
rnacentral:tRNA from 1 species